AUGAAGAGGCUGCUGUGCUCUCUGCUGGGGCUCCUGUGCACCCAGGUUUGCUGGGUGAAAGGACAGCAAGUGCAGCAGAGCCCCCCGCGUCCUUGGUUCUGCAGGAGGGGGAGAACGCAGAGCUGCAGUGCACCUAUUCCACAACUUUGAACAGUAUGCAGUGGUUUUACCAACGUCCUGGGGGAAGACUCGUCAGCCUGUUGUACAGUCCUUCUUGGGCAGAGCAGAGAGGUGGAAGACUGACAUCCUCCGCAGCCAGUAAUGAAAGUCGCAGCUCUUUGCACAUUUCCUCCUCCCAGAUCACAGACUCAGGCACUUAUCUCUGUGCUAUGGAAC